rnacentral:lncRNA from 9 species
CCUCCCAAGCGGUGGCCUUCGUCCCUUCCGGCCUCGGCAUGCUCUGCCCCUCAUCGCCCCCUGACGCACAGCUGCCACCACCCCCAGCCCUCCUCCAGAGUCGGGAGGACGCAGGGUCGCUGGGGUCAGUCGCCCAGCAACGCCGCUCGCCUCCUUGCGCCCGCGCGCGCCGGAUUCCCGGCAGGCGGGACAUCCCCCCCUGCGCGCGCCCCUUCCCCGCGCCUCCCUCCGCGUAACACCGCAGUGGCUUCCGACCGAACGCCCGAGCAGAGCAGGCUGCGGUCAAGCGCCGGGACCGCGCGAGAAGCCGAGAAUGGUCCGCGAGGCAAGACCGAUUCUUUGCCCCGCCGCCCGAGCUCUUUGCUGUUACAGCAGGGGAGCUGGGCACUUUUCGGCGUUAAAAUGAGGGCGUCAGCCUUUGAGGCUCAACUCGGCGGCUGGGGCUGGGCGGAAUCAAGGAUUCCUCUCGGGAUUAAGCAGCCGGGUCGGCACGCGAGGCGGAAGCCCGGAACAGUCCAUUGGGACAUUCAUCACUGAAGAACUACAUCAUCAUUUUUAACAGCUGCACAGUCCUCUUGUUUGAUAAGUCAAUUUAUUUCAUUUUGGUAUUUCCAAUUUUUAAACAUUAUAAACAAGACUGUGAUGAACACUAAGUAUAUGUGCUAAUAAGAAAGAACUUUCCCAGAAGCUUCUGGCAGCCUUCUCUUGGAGUAUGUUUGGUCAAAAUUGGGUCAUAGGCUCAUUCCUGAUUUAAAUCACUGGAAAGGGAAAGUGGUCAAGAGAAUUGACCUAAUCUGAGCUCAUCCCUGGAGUUGGAAUGAUUCACGUGUGCUUAGGGGUGGAAGGAGGGGAGAGAAGGGUGGUAAGGUCUGGAUUCCUGAAAAAAAAGGAAAAAGGGGGAUCAGGUGUCCACCACUAGUAGUUUUGAACCUUUCAAGGUAUUUAAAACAUGAUGAAUGUAUUAAUUUUUUCACCCUAAAAGCAGUGUUUAAGAGUGCUAGUUGUGAAGCAGGGCUACUAUAAUUUUUUUUUCAUCUGUUUGAUAGAUCUGAUAAUAAUGUUUGAUUUUUUUUUAUCAGUAGUUCAUAAGAAACUAUCUUUAGGAUGAUUCACAACUCUUUAAUAACACUAAAAUAUUCUAUUAAUAGAGAUAUAACAAAAUGACAGGAAAAUUGCUCUAAUUUGAUUCAUAUAAAUUCCAUAGCCACCUAAAAUUAUAGGUUCAUCUCUAUAAAUGCAGAACAAAAUCACUCCUGCCAAUCACUUAUCAAGACAAAUGUUAGACUCUUAGAUGCUUCAUUAGAAUCAUGGAAAUCUCAGAAAUAAGCAGUAAUUUCAUUAAACAAGUUCUUUAAAAAGUUGUUUUUUUAAAUACAUAAGGCAGUUACCAAUUUUCAGUCUUUGAAUUCAUUAAUAAUUGUUAUAGGAUAGAUAUUGGAUGUUAAGAGGGUUUUUUUUUUGUUGUUGUUUUUGUUUGUUUUUCUGGCAGCACCCUUGGCAUGUGGAGAUUCCUGGAUCAGGGAUCAAACUCAUGUCAUAGCAGUGACAACGCCAGAUCCUUAACCUGCUGCACCACAAGUGAACUCCUUGAUGCUAAGUUUUAAAGAUCAAUCAGUGCCAUAUUUUUGGGUAUCAAAUUCAUUACGAGUUUUAAGUCAGUGCCACGAGAGCUUUAUUCUUCUUGUGUUUUUAAAUAUAUUUAUGAGAAUAAAUAAGUUCAGGGAUGUAAUGUACAGCAUGGUGACUAUAGUAAUAAUAGUAUACUGCAUGUUUGAAAGAUGCCAAGAGAAUAGAUCUUAAAAGCUCUCAUCACAAGAAAAAAAUUUGGUAUUUACAUGUGAUGAUGGAUGUCAAUUAGACUUGUGGUUAUUAUUUUACAAUAUAAAAAAAUACUGAAUCAUUCUGAUACCUGGAACUAAUGUUUUAUGUCAGUUAUAUCUCAAUUAAAAAUAAACAGAUUCAUACGACAAAUAUUUGGCACAUAGUACAUUUUUGGGUAAAGCUCUUAUGAGUAGUGAACAGGCCACAAGAGAAUGCAUUUACAAUCAUCAAAGGUUUCAUUAUAGUGCUUGACUUUUAGUAUUUAAGAGUAGGUAUUUAUUGCUUUAAGACCUAACUUGUCUUAUUGGAAAUUUUGUUCAAUAAUCAUAUUCUUAGGGCUAAAAAGAGUUCAGUACACAGAGUUCCCUGGUGGCUCAGUGGGUUAAGGAUCUGGCAUUAUCACUGCUGUAGAUCAGGUCACUGCUGUGACGUGGGUUCCAUCCUUGGCCCAGGAACUUCUGCAUGCCAUGGGGUGCAGCCAAGAAAAAAAAAAAAGAGUUCAGUACACAAUAUGUUCUUGCACACAUUUCAGAACAUUUGAAUUCCUAAAGAGAAAUGCUAUUUAUUGUAACCUUCAUUUUAUUAGGUAAUCAGGUUUACACUGCACAUGUGAUGGAUUCAAAAAUAUACAGAGUAUAAGUCUACAAGUAAUAUUUUGUGCUCAAGUCACCUCUAGCCCAGAGUUAUCUGGGGUUCAAAAUAGACAAAGUAGCUUUACAAAGAAGUCUAACAAUUGAUUAGCUGUAAAAAACAAACAAAACAGUAUUCAGAAAGAAAAUCCUACCCACAUCUUGGUGGGAAUAACAGGUAUUGUGGUAAGUACAAAAAGCAAGUGGGUGAGUUCCCAUUGUGGCUCAGCAGGUUAAGAACCUGACUAGAAUCCAUGAGGAUGCAGGUUCGAUCCCUAGCCUUGGAUCAGUGGGUCAAGGAUCUGGGGUUGCUGCAAGCUGCAGCAUAGGUUCAAAUGUUGCUUGGAUUUGGCAUUGUUGUGGCUGUGGCUGGAGCUGUAGUUCAACCCCUAGCCUGGGAACUUCCAUAAGCCAUGGGUGCAGUUCUAAGAAAGAAAAAAGAAAGGAAGAAAAAAAGAAAUUGGUCAUUUGUAGCUGAGCUUUUUUUGUUUUGUUUUAAA